AGAGAGGGGCUGCCUCUGGAAUGCACACCAGGGCUUGUCCACACACACUCCCCGGCCCUCUGCGCCUCUUUAGGGAGGUUCCUGCUGCUGGAUCUGCUGCCUUCUUCACCUUGAGAGUGCAUUUAUGUAACAAGAAAACACCUGGGUGUUUUCACAGGUAGGAAGAGAUUGGCGGCUGAGCUGUUCUCUCAUUUGGAUGCAAGGCUGUGAGAUGGGGCCUCUGUUGGCCUAGAGGUCCCGAGAAAUUGGGAGGAGAGGUGCCAGUAGCAAGCCCCAAGGUCGGGGUUCCUCCUCUAACCUCUCUGUGGGGUGGAGGCAUCCACACCAAACCUUAAGAGGGAGCAAUGGGUCUAACUGCUAAUUCUGAAGGUGAGCAGGCCCGUUUCCACAUGCCAAUGUCAAAAUCCAACCACAGUUUGACAAGCCUUUGGGAACAUCCAGUAAUUACAUAAUAGCACUCCCAAACAUGACAAGUGCUUUCAUCUUUACAAAGACUGUCGUGUUUGUUCUCACUCUCCUCCCCAUAUGAGUUGCUUCUCUUUCUUUCCCCUAUUUUGCAGAUAAGAAGGUGGAGGCUCAGGAAGGUAGAGUGACUUUCUACUACUAAAGAACUAGCAGGAAAGUAUUUCAAAUUCAAGUCUCAUGACCCUAAAUGCAGGGUAUUUCCCAGUGGCUCAUGGUAAAUGAGUUCCUUAAAAAUGAGCCACGCUGAGGCCUGAAACUACAGGGCUUACUGAUGUGGCUGCAAGCUGCAGCUCUAAGCCAGAAAGGGGACAAGCUAAGGAGAAGAGGAACCACCUUUGCACUGGCGGACUUCAGCGUGUCUCACGCAUGCCGAAUGUUUACAUGUGUUCCCCACUUGGUAUCCAUAGCAACUGGCAGAGGUGCAAAAAUGCUUCAUUGGUAUUUGUAAGAGGAUGAGAAGAAAGCCCUCCAAGAUCCUCUUUCUCCCAGUGGGCAGGGCUAUUUCCAUCCAUGGCUUCGUGACUUCUCCCAGCAGCCGUUUGGCAUGAGGAUUUCAAACAGCAGGGAGCCAGUGAGUCCACCGGAUAGGUAUUUGAAAUGUACUGAAUGGAAAGCCCUCAUCUCCUGCUCCCUCUUCCAGGCAAUUAUUCAUGGAGUCAGGAGAGGAUUCUGUUAUUCAAGGAGUCUCCAUAGUAAGGGGCUGAGAGAUUGUGGUUUCUAGUCUUUAACCACAACAUUUAAGGCGUGGCUCCAUUUUUCUUAUAAUUUCCAAGUGUACAUCAUUACCUAAUUCUCCCUGAAGAAUCGAAAUUGCUUUAUGAUGCAUAUGUAUUAGUGAUGUGAGCUGAGGUUCGGAGCCAGCAAACAUCUUUCUCAGAAACCUCCCUCUUGUUCUCCUCUCCCAUGUUGCCCCUUGAAGUUACUCCUUCUACCAGAGAUGCUCAAAGGUUCUUGGUCAGAAAGUCUAUAUUGCAGCAAUUAAAACUGGGGUUCAACUCAACAUAUGUGUAGCAGAAUAUUUUAUCUCUCAGCAUCUCAAUUUGUGACUUAAAUGAUUCAUGAGAUGUUUGUUAGUGCAUUAUGGUCAAAAGCACCUUUCUAAGUGCUUUGAGAGAAACAAGAAUAAAAGCAUUCCUAACCACACCCUGCCCCCUGCAAUCCCACCAAGGAUCUUACAAAACCCAUUUGGCUAAGCUCUUAUAUAGCAUUGAACCAAUCACUGCACACUCAGCAUGUGACCAACACAUAUAUUGAAGCCCACGUGAAAAACUGAGCACCUAUUCAAGUUUCCCAGGCAGGGCUAGAUUCAUGGGCAGGUAACCAGUGCAGUUGCACAGGGACCUCUGCUCAGAAGGCCUUGCUUGGGGUUUAAUGCACAAUUCUUAAUUUAUCUUUCAAUGUGUAUUUUGUAAGAGGAGUCUCAUGGGACAAAGGAGCUCACUCGUGGUCCUGCCUCCUACCCACCCUCUGUUUGGGCCCUUAGUGUCCCAGGCUCCACUCUACCUACUCCCCACCCUCUGCUCCACAACACUUGCUACCCUUCCCUCAGGGUGACUACUAGGUCAGGUUGGCAGACAGGGAGGCAACAUUCUGCCCACACCCUCUGCAGGGGCCUGGGAGCAGUUGUGGGGAGAGGCUCUGCUGGGUAUGCACACCAUGGCAUCCUGGGAAAGAGCAUGGCGGUGUUGUCCCUACCCUGGGCUGACAGCACGGUGGUAUAUUUGGAAGGCAACUGGAUGGGGCCUUCUCACCCACUCCUAUCCAGGUUACAGGUGUGUCCUGGUGUGGAGGUUGCAAUCCCUUGGUAGGGGCACUGUAGAUAGACUGAGGAGAGACAGGCUGUGGGAAGGAGAAACUAACUUAUCUGCCAUGGCUAGGCCUCAUUUUCACUUUGCACUUAGGUCCCACCAUUAUGUAGCCAGCUCUGGUCCUGGACCAAAUGGCCUCUAGUGACUCCCUCUUUCCAAUCUAAGCAGGUCUUGCACAACUGUCAUGAAUGAAGCCAAUUCUGAUUUCCUAUCAGUUCAAUUUUUUAAAAAUUGCAUUCUGUUCCUCAGAAUCCAUUCCAACCAUAAAAACAUGAAAAAUUGAUUUUGAUCUCAGUAUAACAUCACCUCAUAAAUAUAUUUUAUAUAAUCACGAUCUUUAGAACUUGCUCUCUGUAUAAAAUGGGUUUCACACCUCAGCUCUUAAAGGCACUUGUUUAUUAUGGAAAAUCAAGCAUAAUGUAAAAUUUACAUCUUAAGUGUGGCUUAUGAGAGAUUUUCCUGCAGAGACAGGACUGACUGAAGCUUUGUUCUUUAAACUUGGGCAAACAUUUUACAUGUUGAAAAGUAUCAUUUUGAUGAUGAUUUCUUUUCAACACUUUUCCAGCUUUCGAAGGAAGAAUUACAAAUAACAAGGCAUGACACUUCCCCCAAAGGUAUAUUUUUAGCAAUUUAAUACCUGGUAAAUUUUUCUUUCUUUUUGCUCAACAGCUAGGCGACUGCAUAGGAGGUUGGCCCAAGCCAACACACAUUCAUUGGACAUCUGCCAUGAUGUGAGCCAAACCCUGGGCCCCAGGAAGUGUGGAAAAUAUACAGAUAAAUUAGAAGGUCCCUGCCCUUAAAAAGCAUCUAAGACCCUUAGUUGCUGAAUAGACAUAAAUCUGUAGCUGCUGAAGGAGAUGGCCAAGAGCUAGAAGGAGGCUGGCAGGCACUGCUUAGUGCCUUACUCCUCUCUGAGCACCAUAUUGUCAGCAGAAGAGGCCGCUUGGCCCAGGCUGACUGUGGACAGGUCUUGAUAACUUGAGGUCCACUGGGAGUUGCUGUCUGCAGCCUGACACAUAGAACGCCUUGCUUUUUGUUCUCUGUCUGUUAUAGAAGUUGCUUUUGGAAAAGCACCAUUUCUUGGGUCAGCAUGAAGAUUACCCUUGUGGUAGAUGCUGGAAAUAUUAACUAUUAUUAACAAAUAUUACUUAGGGCUUGCUAUAGGUGAGGCACCGUACUGGAUUCUAAGCCUCUGGUCCCUGCUCUCAGGGCAUCAUGGUAAGUUGGAAAAGAUAUGUAAGCAAAUGACUAAAGUGUGUAUGGAACUUGGCACUGGGGAAGUGACAGUCAAAAGUCAGUUAAAUCUCAGCUGUGACUUCAGCUGGCAUAGUGACUUUGAUCAAUGCCUGCAAAUUCUCUGGGCUCUGGUUUCUUUAUUUGUAAAAUGGAUGUGUGGCUGAGGAGAAAGAACUUGUCUAUCUGGUCUCCAAGUUGACUUUUCUGUUAAAAUUCCCUGACUCUUUGAGCCUCCUAGAAAUAAUCAGCCCCCGAUAGGCAAGCUUCCCUUUGACCUGUUUAUUAGUUUUCUAGGGCUGCCAUAGAAAGUACGGCAAACAGGGCACCUGUAGUCCCAGCGAGGCUGAGGCAGGAGAAUGGCGUGAACCCGGGAGGCGGAGCUUGCACUGAGCCGAGAUCGCGCCACUGCACUCCAGCCUGGGCGACAGAGCAAGACUCCGUCUCAAAAAAAAAAAGAAAGUACAGCAAACAGAGUGACGUAAACAACAGAAAUUUAUUGUCUCAUGGUUCUGGAGUCUACAAGUUGGACAUCUAAGUAUCUGCAGCUCUGCCCUCAUCAUGAGACCAUGCCCAGGCUAGUCUGCUGGAAGGAAGUCAGAGGCACACGGAAGAGAGCCACAUUCAGCCAAGGCCAUUCUAGACCAGUUGUUCCCUGUCACUUCACUAAUUGGCCACAGCACAAGGUUUUGUUGAAGAUUGAAUGAGUGUGUAAAGUGCCCAACAGAAAGUCUGGCACAUGGUACACGGAUGGAGCUGGAAGCCAUUAUCCUCAGCAAACUAAUGUAGGAACAGAAAACCAAAUAUUGCAUGUUCUUACUUAUAAGUGGGAGCUGAACAACGAGAACACAUGGACACAGGGAGGGAAACAACACACACUGGGGCCUGUCCAGCAGUAAGGUUGAGGCAGGGAAAGCAUUAGGAAAAAUAGCUAUGCAUGCUGGGCUGAAUACUGGGUGAUGGAUUGAUAGGUGCAGCAAACCACCAUGGCAUAUGUUUACCUUUGUAAGAAACCAGCACAUCCUGCACAUGUACCCUGGAACUUAAAAUAAAAAUUAAAAUGUUUUUUAAAAAAGUCA